rnacentral:rRNA from 1 species
AUGUACAUUCCUAUAGCAUAGCGUUAAUGCACUGGAUCCCAUUAGAACUUCGCAGUUAAGCGCACUCAGGCUAGAGUAGUACUGGUAUGGGUGACCUCCUGGGAAGUCCUUGUGUUUUACAUG